GACGAACGCUGGCGGCGUGCCUAAUACAUGCAAGUAGAACGCUGAAGGAGGAGCUUGCUUCUCUGGAUGAGUUGCGAACGGGUGAGUAACGCGUAGGUAACCUGCCUGGUAGCGGGGGAUAACUAUUGGAAACGAUAGCUAAUACCGCAUAAGAGUAGAUGUUGCAUGACAUUUGCUUAAAAGGUGCAAUUGCAUCACUACCAGGUGGACCUGCGUUGUAUUAGCUAGUUGGUGAGGUAACGGCUCACCAAGGCAACGAUACAUAGCCGACCUGAGAGGGUGAUCGGCCACACUGGGACUGAGACACGGCCCAGACUCCUACGGGAGGCAGCAGUAGGGAAUCUUCGGCAAUGGACGGAAGUCUGACCGAGCAACGCCGCGUGAGUGAAGAAGGUUUUCGGAUCGUAAAGCUCUGUUGUAAGAGAAGAACGAGUGUGAGAGUGGAAAGUUCACACUG
rnacentral:rRNA from 1 species